GGCCUGUAGCCCUGACGCUCACCGGCCUGUAGCCCUGACGCUCACCGGCCUGUAGCCCUGACGCUCACCGGCCUGUAGCCCUGACGCUCACCGGCCUGUAGCCCUGACGCUCACCGGCCUGUAGCCCUGACGCUCACCGGCCUGUAGCCCUGACGCUCACCGGCCUGUAGCCCUGACGCUCACCGGCCUGUAGCCCUGACGCUCACCGGCCUGUAGCCCUGACGCUCACCGGCCUGUAGCCCUGACGCUCACCGGCCUGUAGCCCUGACGCUCACCGGCCUGUAGCCCUGACGCUCACCGGCCUGUAGCCCUGACGCUCACCAGCCUGUAGCCCUGACGCUCACCAGCCUGUAGCCCUGACGCUCACCAGCCUGUAGCCCUGACGCUCACCAGCCUGUAGCCCUGACACUGUCUCUCCUGACUGAUCAGAUUCCUGUAACGUACCCGUCCACUGCCCCCGAGGUCGCCAUCCCAGAGCUGGAUGGGAAAACGGCCAAAAUGUACAGGGGGGGGAAGAUUUGUCUGACGGACCACUUCAAACCCCUGUGGGCGCGAAACGUACCGAAGUUUGGAUUGGCUCACCUGAUGGCCCUUGGGUUGGGUCCGUGGUUGGCGGUGGAGAUUCCAGACCUGAUCUCUAAAGGACUGAUCACACACAGAGAGCAGCAGGGAAGCUGAGACCCCACCUUCCCUCUUUGUGAACAUGUUUACUGGUGUGGUCCCAGUGAAGGUGCUGCUGCUGUUUGUUCUGAGAACCAGAAAACAGACUAAUGAUGUGGCUACCGACAUGUGACCACUCACUCUUCUGUUGCUUUAAAAGGCAAUGUUCCUGCGUUCACAUUCAAGUUAAACUCUGCAGAUGUCGGCUCAAUCAGAAAUGACCUUUUAAAUGUCAGUUGCGCUAUAACACCAUGUUGAAUCGCAGCCUACAUUCCACUAGAAAACGGGUGUUUUAAACUUCAGUGUUUGAGUUGACAGAAUGUUGCUCCUGUGUCAUCUAAUAAAACAUGUCUGAUACCUGUCA